CUGUCCGUUUCUACCGAGCCUUAAAUCCGCGUGAGAGACAGCCCUGUCUUCUGGGUCUUGGAUCCCCGUGGGGAACCUGUCUGUGCCUACGAAGUCUCAGAUCCUCGUGAGAGACCUGUCAUAUCUGCGGGGUCGCAGAUCCUCGGUAUCUGAGUAGAAUUUACCCGUAUCUGUUAACAGUUUGAAGAGCUGAAGGAAUUGGAAAGGAAAUAGAAGGUGUUGUUGAACUGCCUUGGUUAAGUCUUCUAGGAUGAACAGCCUAAUCAGCGGGCACACAGGAUGAGCCAUAACUGUACAAGGCUGCCUUCUACGGGGAACGCGGAAUGAAGUAAGGGGUAAGAGAGCAAGGAGGCUGGUGUGGACAGGCUGUGGAGUUUUCCAGGAAGCAGAGGUGACAUCAGCAGUGCGAAGGUGGAGAUGCUGUAACUCGCAUAGGCACUUCUAGGCCGAGCUGCGAAGAAGCCGGGGGAAGGGUCCAAGCAGAGAGCUGGCAUAGCCAUAAUCCCGCUUCGGUUGUGCGUGUGUGUUCGUGCUAGCUGCCACGUCACUGUAGACCAACACGGUCUUGGAGCCCAAAAGUGGGUGUGAGCAGUCAGUGCCAUGACGAGGAAAUGACCCAGAUGCCGGAAAGAUGGUGACGAUUGAAUCCACCAGAUUUUCUGAGUGUCUAAUGUUGAGUAUGAGAGAAAGAAGUCAUGGACAGCUCUCCUGUGGGUGACCAGAAACCGGAGGUGUGGGGGUGCUUGGAUGUCUCACUUGGAUCUGCUAAACUCGGCACACCAAAUGAGCAUCCGAGAGAGAUGCCAAGGGCAUCUGAACAUAAGUGUGGGAUAAUAGACGGGUUCCACUUGAGCAUCUGAGAACAUGCAGUGAGUGGGUAGAGACUAUAAAAAGAGAGGAUUCAGUGGAGCAUAGCUGGGCCUGGACCCACCCACUAGCCGUGGAGCCAUCUUCCUAUUGGUCUGUCCCGAUCCUCUGAGGUGCUUCACUCAAACCACAGUGCCUUUUCUGCCUCUGAUGCCAAGAUGGAGCCCAAUUCUGCAGGAGCACGCUCAGGAGGCCACUGCCAUUGACAACAGACAAGGUCACACAAUGGAAGGCCACAUGGCACAGCCAGAAGUAGAAUGGUGGCAGUGGGAACUGGCCUUUGCUUCUUCUGCCGUGUUCUCUCCAAGGAAGAUGGCGACCCAGAUCCUGGGAGAGCUGUCCAGAACUCUCUGAACACCCUAUGCUGCUGGCGUCUGUGGGUGUAAUUUCAAGAAAACCAUCACGUUUCAUUAACUUAUUCCAGGAAACGGGACAAGCACAAGCGCCCACACUUCUGAGAAGGAGCAUCUGAGAACCCAGCACUAGCAGGGGCUUGCUUAGCGUUGAAUUUCUUGUACCAAUUGAUGUUUGGGAAGGGCUGGGUACAUCUUGUCAACAUGGGGGGCAGGUGCUCAUGAGCAGCUCGCAGGGGACAUUGAGUGCCCUGGCUGAGCCAAUGUGGGAAGAUGAAAGUAGAGAGAAAGGGAGGGGAACAAGAGUCCUGGCCUAAGGGCCAGGAGCAGACGCCACUGUGGCACAUGGAGGACCCCAGGCAGGGUACGCAUUGGCCCUAGAUUUGGGAGCUGUAUUUAGCUUCUAGUAAAAUAAUUCGACCUGUGGUACCUUCAGUGGAAGAUUUAUUCUCCCAAUUCUCCCCAAAGAAUUCAGAGUAUCUCUACAAACUCACCAGGGAACUAAGCUCCUUUUAGUUCUCUGAUCUGCAGUCUUAAUUUCUUUCUUUUAGCUCCCAAAGCUGCCUCAUGAACCAAUGUGGCUGUCAGGAGCUCUGCCCACUACAUGCACAUUCUGGGAAACAGGAAAGCGGUGUAAAGGAAAUGCAGAAGAGGUUCACGCCCUUCAUCCUCGGAGAGUUUCCUAAGAAGCCCAUAUUUCUGUGAUACAAGCUCCAUCACACAGCCACAUCUAUUUACAGAGAAGGGUGGGCAAACACGGAGGUGCCGAGCUAGCUGAGAGAAGUGAGGGAGUGGGGACUAUCAGAGGCAACAUGGGCUCCAUGUUACCGUCCUGAACAAGUCUGCUCUGAUCCUAAACCUCCAUGCCCUAGAAAAAAGA